CGUGGCUCAGCCUGGCAGCUACCGGUACGGGUCAGAGAGAUCGUUCCUUGGUCUUUCUGUGUUUUCUGAGAUAGUGCUCAAUCUGCUAUAAUGUGUCAUGCAUUGUUGUAUGGAACUGCUGCGUCCACACAAGCUAUGACUGACAGAGUGAAAACGCAGCUGCCAGCAUAUCAGCCGAAGAUUUUCUGUCUGGACUUCCUUUACACUUCUUUAAUGGGGCCAAUCCCGUAGACGAGUUUGUGAAGCAACCCGCCAGUUUAAGUAGAAGCAUUCACCAUGUCCAAGUUCCAGGUUUAUAAGUAGACGCUCACGCAACCAAUCCUUUAUUUUCUAGAAUUAUGCUGACGCAGGAGGAAAUUUGCUCGAAAGUGUCAAAGAAAUGAAGUGUCGAAAACGUCUAGGCACGAAUGUACCCUCAUCGGCGCAUGAGAGGCUCUUGUGUAAUCCCUUUUCUUGAGAACCUCAGUUGGAAAUGUAUGUGGAUCUCGGUUUCCUCUGGCUCGUUUCCUUCCUCUCCGCACGAAAAAACGUAGAACAACAACUCCGGCUGUACGCAGCUCUCUUUUUAUCUGGUCCUCGGAAAAUCGAUUCGGCUUUUGCCGUACUUUCAUUUCCCUCCCAGCUGUUCGCCAGCAAGGCACCAGGCACGACUCUAUCCAUUAGUCUUGGGAUGUGUUUAGAAGUCUACCAGUGAACUUUAAUCCGUGCAUCUCGCGAGAAUGGCAUCGUCACUAAACAGUGUGUGACCGACUAGAGGGAAGAGGUGUUCUCUCUCAAUGAACCGCACAGAACCUACGUUUUUUUCAGGUCGUGUUCUUUUUCCCAGAUUCUCCGAAGCAAACUCCCCCAACGUUAGUAAACGCCUGCGGCGGAUGUGGAAGGGCGCCUCUAUUGCAGUGAGAAGCGAGUGAAUGAAACGAAAGCCGGGAAUCCCCAAUCUCUCGGAAAUGUGACAGAGCCACUCUAUAGGCACGUCACGCCAG
rnacentral:lncRNA from 1 species